AUUGAACGCUGGCGGCAUGCUUUACACAUGCAAGUCGAACGGCAGCGCGGGCUUCGGCCUGGCGGCGAGUGGCGAACGGGUGAGUAAUACAUCGGAACGUGCCCAGUAGUGGGGGAUAGCUCGUCGAAAGCCGGAUUAAUACCGCAUACGACCUGAGGGUGAAAGCGGGGGAUCUUCGGACCUCGCGCUAUUGGAGCGGCCGAUGGCAGAUUAGCUAGUUGGUGGGGUAAGGGCCUACCAAGGCGACGAUCUGUAGCUGGUCUGAGAGGACGACCAGCCACACUGGGACUGAGACACGGCCCAGACUCCUACGGGAGGCAGCAGUGGGGAAUUUUGGACAAUGGGCGAAAGCCUGAUCCAGCAAUGCCGCGUGUGUGAUGAAGGCCUUCGGGUUGUAAAGCACUUUUGGCGGGAACGAAAAGGACUGUGCCAAUACCACGGUUCGAUGACGGUACCCGCAGAAUAAGCACCGGCUAACUACGUG
rnacentral:rRNA from 1 species